ACCUUUGUUACAUGUACAAUGUUCAAAAAUAAUAGAAAUCCAACAACAACAAAAACUCAAAAAAAAAAUGUUUUACUGGAGAAUUAAUUAUACUGAUAUUCUUACGAUUUAACUGAACAGUAUCGUACAACCUCAUCCAAUAAUUAUUUAUUACAAUAUUGAAUACGUAAUUGUGACUGAUAAGUAGUAUUUAAAACACGAGAAGGAGUGUUUUAUCAUAUUUAAAAAGCUAGGCGCACUCCUCGUGUUUUGAAUAGCUUAAUUAAAAUACGACUACAAAAGAAUACUAAUUAGGAUGAACAAUUAUAUAAUCAUACUAACUAAUUACGAUUACCAAUUAUAUAAAGAAUACUAAUGAAGAUGAGUUUUAUCAGAUAUGUCACUCCACGUGACAUACUAUGGCUGACAUGAUUUGCCACAACGUUUAUGAAUUUUUAAAAAUACAAUUUGGGUGCGGGCAAAGGCUUAUCCCCCCCCCCGUAAGGAAUUUGAAAGUCAAUGUUAUUCCGGGGGUGGGUCAUUUGACGACAUUUCUGAAGUCCUACACGAAGCAGUAAAGCAUUAAACCCAAUAAAUAGUUGUUUGGACAAUAAUAUUGUAUCAAUAUAAUUGUUUUUCAGUACGGAAAGUGUUUAUUCUGUCCCCAGGUGGGGACUUUUUGAUAGAUUUGAUUGAUAUUAGUCUCCCCAACCGAGGAAAUUUCACCCAAAAUUUCAGCUUUUUGUCAAAUACCCACCCUUUGCCCCGCAGCAUUAAUUAUAUCGCGUCAAGCAACUUCGGUGGAGGGUCUUAUCAAAGUGUCAAGCGUUUCUGUUAGGUUCAAUUUUCAUUGAUGCAAAUUGUUCUAUUUCCCGCAGCUCCACAAGUAGACUGUUCCAGUUGUUGACAACAAUCCCAACUCUUCUCGUUCCAAAUGUAAGUUCUGUUUGUUUCAGGUGUUGUAGCUGUCAGACGAGUACUUUUAAAGACAAUUGCGCGUUUUUACAUCUGUUCUUGUGGACCAGUAAGGGACGGACCACUAGAAAAGUGAUGGGGGGGGGGGGGGGCCCAUUUCCAACGUGCGCGAUUAUUUUUUCAAAAUUUUUUGCUGUGUCGAUUUUUUCUUUUUAUAAUCCCUUGCUCGGGGGGGGAGGUGAAAAAUUUUUUCCGGAGUUCAAAACUUUUUCUGGGCAAAGAAAAAAAAGGCUCAAAUUCCGGACUAACAUCAGUUCAGUUCCGGUUUAAAACACAUUUUCCCUGAAAAAAUCUUCUUAAAACAUAAUUAAAACGCUUUUUUGCACCAAUAUCCGCUACAUUUAGGUUUAGAAAAUCUUCUCUCACACCAUUACUUAUUAUUUUUCUCUUAUUUUCCAAAUUUGGGGGCCACUCUUACACUGUACCUCUGAGGGGCCUGUCAACUUAUAAUUUUCCCUAUUGAAAAGUCUCCAACUUUUGUGGUGCACGAAUAUUUUUUUCUGUUUCCCCUGCUCGAUUUUUAUUUUUGCUUUUGCCCCC
rnacentral:lncRNA from 1 species